UACGAAGGGGGGCUAGCGUUGCUCGGAAUUACUGGGCGUAAAGCGCGCGUAGGCGGAUCUGCAAGUCGGGGGGUGAAAUCCCGAGGCUCAACCUCGGAACUGCCUUCGAUACUGCGGGUCUCGAGUCCGGGAGAGGUGAGUGGAAUUCCUAGUGUAGAGGUGAAAUUCGUAGAUAUUAGGAAGAACACCAGUGGCGAAGGCGGCUCCACUGGCCCGGUACUGACGCUG
rnacentral:rRNA from 1 species